rnacentral:rRNA from 1 species
AGCUCCAAUAGCGUAUAUUAAUGUUGUUGCAGUUAAAAAGCUCGUAGUUGGAUUUCUGGUGGGAGUGGCCGGUCCGCCGUAAGGUGUGUACUUGGUUGUCUCCCGUCAUCCUUGUGGGAACUGCUCUGGCAUUAAGUUGUCGGGGUUAGGGAACACAUCGUUUACUGUGAAAAAAUUAGAGUGUUUAAAGCAGGCUUAUGCCGUUGAAUACAUUAGCAUGGAAUAAUAAGAUAGGACUUUGGCGUCUAUUUUGUUGGUUUGCACACCAAGGUAAUGAUUAAUAGGGAUAGUUGGGGGUAUUCGUAUUUAAUUGUCAGAGGUGAAAUUCUUGGAUUUAUGAAAGACGAACUUCUGCGAAAGCAACAACGCCCCGGGAGAGAGCAAACCAGAAGGAGAAAAAGAAAACAAAAGCCCCCCGCAGCUGCCCCCA